rnacentral:rRNA from 1 species
GACGAACGCUGGCGGCGUGCCUAAUACAUGCAAGUCGAACGAACUCUGGUAUUGAUUGGUGCUUGCAUCAUGAUUUACAUUUGAGUGAGUGGCGAACUGGUGAGUAACACGUGGGAAACCUGCCCAGAAGCGGGGGAUAACACCUGGAAACAGAUGCUAAUACCGCAUAACAACUUGGACCGCAUGGUCCGAGUUUGAAAGAUGGCUUCGGCUAUCACUUUUGGAUGGUCCCGCGGCGUAUUAGCUAGAUGGUGAGGUAACGGCUCACCAUGGCAAUGAUACGUAGCCGACCUGAGAGGGUAAUCGGCCACAUUGGGACUGAGACACGGCCCAAACUCCUACGGGAGGCAGCAGUAGGGAAUCUUCCACAAUGGACGAAAGUCUGAUGGAGCAACGCCGCGUGAGUGAAGAAGGGUUUCGGCUCGUAAAACUCUGUUGUUAAAGAAGAACAUAUCUGAGAGUAACUGUUCAGGUAUUGACGGUAUUUAACCAGAAAGCCACGGCUAACUACGUGCCAGCAGCCGCGGUAAUACGUAGGUGGCAAGCGUUGUCCGGAUUUAUUGGGCGUAAAGCGAGCGCAGGCGGUUUUUUAAGUCUGAUGUGAAAGCCUUCGGCUCAACCGAAGAAGUGCAUCGGAAACUGGGAAACUUGAGUGCAGAAGAGGACAGUGGAACUCCAUGUGUAGCGGUGAAAUGCGUAGAUAUAUGGAAGAACACCAGUGGCGAAAGGCGGCUGUCUGGUCUGUAACUGACGCUGAGGCUCGAAAGUAUGGGUAGCAAACAGGAUUAGAUACCCUGGUAGUCCAUACCGUAAACGAUGAAUGCUAAGUGUUGGAGGGUUUCCGCCCUUCAGUGCUGCAGCUAACGCAUUAAGCAUUCCGCCUGGGGAGUACGGCCGCAAGGCUGAAACUCAAAGGAAUUGACGGGGGCCCGCACAAGCGGUGGAGCAUGUGGUUUAAUUCGAAGCUACGCGAAGAACCUUACCAGGUCUUGACAUACUAUGCAAAUCUAAGAGAUUAGACGUUCCCUUCGGGGACAUGGGUACAGGUGGUGCAUGGUUGUCGUCAGCUCGUGUCGUGAGAUGUUGGGUUAAGUCCCGCAACGAGCGCAACCCUUAUUAUCAGUUGCCAGCAUUAAGUUGGGCACUCUGGUGAGACUGCCGGUGACAAACCGGAGGAAGGUGGGGAUGACGUCAAAUCAUCAUGCCCCUUAUGACCUGGGCUACACACGUGCUACAAUGGAUGGUACAACGAGUUGCGAACUCGCGAGAGUAAGCUAAUCUCUUAAAGCCAUUCUCAGUUCGGAUUGUAGGCUGCAACUCGCCUACAUGAAGUCGGAAUCGCUAGUAAUCGCGGAUCAGCAUGCCGCGGUGAAUACGUUCCCGGGCCUUGUACACACCGCCCGUCACACCAUGAGAGUUUGUAACACCCAAAGUCGGUGGGGUAACCUUUUAGGAACCAGCCGCCUAAGGUGGGACAGAUGAUUAGGGUG